rnacentral:tRNA from 1 species
GGCAACAUGGCCGAGUGGUCUAAGGCGCCAGAAUUAGGAUCUGGUCCGAAAGGGCGUGAGUUCGAACCUCACUGUUGUCA